CAGCCGCACGGUAAUACGUAGGGUGCGAGCGUUAAUCGGAAUUACUGGGCGUAAAGCGUGCGCAGGCGGUUUUGUAAGACAGGCGUGAAAUCCCCGGGCUCAACCUGGGAAUGGCGCUUGUGACUGCAAAGCUAGAGUGCGGCAGAGGGGGAUGGAAUUCCGCGUGUAGCAGUGAAAUGCGUAGAUAUGCGGAGGAACACCGAUGGCGAAGGCAAUCCCCUGGGCCUGCACUGACGCUCAUGCACGAAAGCGUGGGGAGCAAACAGGAUUAGAUACCCGAGUAGUCCCUGUCUCUUAUACA
rnacentral:rRNA from 1 species